rnacentral:misc_RNA from 1 species
GUACGUAACUUCAUAUGUCCCCACUUCCUCAAACUAGAACCUGAAUGAUAUCCAGGCACAGAUGCAAUUAGCCUGACCGAUGCGCUACUGUAAUCAAAUUUCUUGAAGAAUGAGGAGUUGAUCUUGCAGCUUCCGAAGGCUGGUAUAUUAACAGUAAAUUCUGGCCACUUUAACGCGCUUAGAUAAUCAACCAAAUCAUUUUCAAGG